UUGACCGUGGCCAAGUAGCAUAAUCAAUUGUCUUUUAAUUGAAGGCUUGUAUGAAUGGUUGUAUGAGAUAUUAACUAUUUUUAUUUUAAUAAUAAUGAAUUUAAAUUUUUAGUAAAAAUGCUAAAAUAAUUUAAAAAGACGAGAAGACCCUAUAAAUCUUUAUUUUAGUUUAUUAAUAAAAUAUUAAGAAUAAUGAAUUUUAAUAGUUGGCUAAAAUUUUAUUGGGGUGAUAAUGAAAUUUAAAAAACUUUUAUUUUUUAAAAUAAUAUUUAUUAGGUUUUUGAUCCAUUAAUGAUGAUUAUAAAAUUAAGUUACUUUAGGGAUAACAGCGUAAUUAUUUUAGAGAGUUCAUAUCGAUAGAAUAGAUUGCGGACCUCGAUGUUGAAUUAAGUAGGUA
rnacentral:rRNA from 1 species